UUACAGAUCACCUGGGAUCCAUGGCUUCAGAAAUUCCAAAAGGCGCCCUGCAGGACUCUGGUGCAUGAAAGCCAGAAGCCACUGAGAUCUUGGGAUGGUGGCUGCAGCUUAGUCCUGCCUGCUGUCACUCAGAGGAUAGGCAGCCUGGGAACCAAGUGUCACUGAGUAAUCACCAGAAGGAAAAAAAAAGAGCUCUGGAUGGCUGAUCCACACAUGAGGGUCAUGACUCAAGAUGUCUUUGCACGUGUCAAAGAGUGCACCACCUCGCCCAGUCAGGAUAAG